UGCCUGAGCAUAGGGGUGAGUCAGUGU
rnacentral:piRNA from 1 species